UACGUAGGGUGCAAGCGUUAAUCGGAAUUACUGGGCGUAAAGCGUGCGCAGGCGGCUUUGCAAGACAGAUGUGAAAUCCCCGAGCUCAACUCGGGAACUGCGUCCGAUACUGGCGGGCUUGAAUCCGGGAGAGGGAUGCGGAAUUCCAGGUGUAGCGGUGAAAUGCGUAGAUAUCUGGAGGAACACCGGUGGCGAAGGCGGCAUCCUGGACCGGCAUUGACGCUGAGGCGCGAAAGCUAGGGGAGCAAACGGG
rnacentral:rRNA from 1 species